rnacentral:rRNA from 1 species
AUUGAACGCUGGCGGCAUGCUUUACACAUGCAAGUCGAGCGGCAGCGCGGGGGCAACCCUGGCGGCGAGCGGCGAACGGGUGAGUAAUGCAUCGGAACGUGUCCCGUAGUGGGGGAUAACUCAGCGAAAGCUGGGCUAAUACCGCAUAUGCUCUACGGAGGAAAGGGGGGGACCCGCAAGGGCCUCCCGCUAUGGGAGCGGCCGAUGUCCGAUUAGCUUGUUGGUGAGGUAAAGGCUUACCAAGGCGACGAUCGGUAGCUGGUCUGAGAGGAUGAUCAGCCACACUGGGACUGAGACACGGCCCAGACUCCUACGGGAGGCAGCAGUGGGGAAUUUUGGACAAUGGGGGCAACCCUGAUCCAGCCAUGCCGCGUGCGGGAAGAAGGCCUUCGGGUUGUAAACCGCUUUUGUCCGGAAAGAAAAGGCAUCCCCUAAUACGGGGUGUCC